rnacentral:sRNA from 1 species
AGAUUUUGUAACAGAUCUUGAUUUCUCUCCCUUUGAUGAUUAUUUGCUUGCAACUGGAUCUCAAGAUUGUAAGGUCAACAUUUGGUUACUGCCAGAUGAGUCCAGUCCUGGUUCUUUAUCCCAGCCUGUUUUGUCACUUCCACUGUUUGAUAGAAAAAUUGAGAAUGUUUUGUGGAACCCUCAGGCAGAGGGCAUAUUAGCCGUAACAUCACACACUACUGUUAAACUGUAUGACAUUACUGGAGCCAGUGGACAAGAACUCUUCAAUAUUUCCAAAAGUUCUGACCAAAUUCAAAGUAUUUCAUGGAAAGGAGAUGGCUCUCUCUUGGUUACAUCUGGUAAAGACAAGAAAAUCAGAGUUAUAGAUCCUCGAUCCAAUUCUGUUGUUCAGGAAGGAAAUGGACAUCAGAAUGUCAAAGAUUCUCGAGUUCUAUGGCUUGCUGGGAAAGAAUUGAUUCUCUCCACGGGUUUCU